AGAGCGAACGCUGGCGGCAGGCUUAACACAUGCAAGUCGAGCGGGCGUAGCAAUACGUCAGCGGCAGACGGGUGAGUAACGCGUGGGAACAUACCUUUUGGUUCGGAACAACACAGGGAAACUUGUGCUAAUACCGGAUAAGCCCUUACGGGGAAAGAUUUAUCGCCGAAAGAUUGGCCCGCGUCUGAUUAGCUAGUUGGUGAGGUAACGGCUCACCAAGGCGACGAUCAGUAGCUGGUCUGAGAGGAUGAUCAGCCUCACUGGGACUGAGACACGGCCCAGACUCCUACGGGAGGCAGCAGUGGGGAAUAUUGGACAAUGGGCGCAAGCCUGAUCCAGCCAUGCCGCGUGGGUGAUGAAGGCCCUAGGGUUGUAAAGCCCUUUCGGCGGGAAGAUAAUGACGGUACCCGCAGAAGAAGCCCGGCUAACUUCGCGCCAGCAGCCGC
rnacentral:rRNA from 1 species